rnacentral:rRNA from 1 species
UACGAAGGGGGCUAGCGUUGCUCGGAAUCACUGGGCGUAAAGCGCACGUAGGCGGAUUGUUAAGUCAGGGGUGAAAUCCUGGAGCUCAACUCCAGAACUGCCUUUGAUACUGGCGGAUCUCGAGUCCGGGAGAGGUGGAGUGGAACUGCGAGUGUAGAGGUGAAAUUCGUAGAUAUUCGGCAAGAACACCAGUGGCGAAGGCGGACUCACUGGCCCGGUACUGGACGCUGAGGUGCGAAAGCGUGGGGAGC